rnacentral:antisense_RNA from 1 species
CUUGACCGAGCCCAACCACAACGGACGAUCAGCAGGCCGAUCCUGCCCAUAAGUGGCCAAAAUUGCGUGAGCCUC